rnacentral:lncRNA from 1 species
GAUGAAUAUUAAAAAAUAUUGACGGAUGUAGACUUCUAAUAGCUAUAGAAGCCUACAGGAUCUUGGCUUCUUGGAGUUAGCAGGUACUUCCUGUUUGGAUUUCGAAUGGGGAGGGAUCAUUCGGUCAAGUUCUUAUAUACAGUAAAUAAACGGAACCCAACUAUUCCAACCUGAUAAAGGAUAAAAUGCGACAAAAUAUUAGCUAAAAAUGAUUAAAAGUCAAAAAUCAAAAUUAAUUUCAAGAAUUCGGGAAGUUUAACCCGUCCAGCCAGCAAGGCCAAGUGGGCCCAUAUGGUUUAAAAGUGGGUGGAAAUUGUGGGUCAUGAAUGGGUUUGUCCGCAGUUUCCAUAGUGGCCCCACCUGUGUUUGCCCAUAUUGGCUUAAGUGGGCUCGCUAUGCUAGCCAGCCGCACACUGGGCAGCAUAGCUAGCUUUGCUGGCUCCUCGGCGGAGCCACUUGCUUGCUCUGCAGGACCCUUGGCGGCAGAGCUCGCUACACUGACAAUUGGGCGGCUGGCUAGCUUAGCAAGCCAGCCCACUGAGUGCCCACUUUAGCCAAAGUGGGCUAAGAUAGCUGGGAACACCACAGAAACUGUGGGCAGACCCAAUUGGGGUCCUCAUUUUGCCCACUUUUAAACGAUGUGGGGCCCCACCUGGCCUUGCUGGCUGGAUAAAUAUCUCAAAACCAGUUGCUGUGAGAAAAAAAAUGAACAAAAAAAACUUUAUAUCAACAGCAUGAAUCUGGCGCUUUGUGCGUACUUGUUUAAUUGGCCCCAAAAAAGGGGUCAGCGUCAAAUCUGUGUUUGGUAUUCCGUGCAGAAAGCCUCCCACGCCCCGUGUGUCCACCCACGCGCGGAUUUGCGUCACACAGGGAGCGGCGUGGGCGGGAGAUAUAGAGAGAGAGAGAGAGACGGAGCGAGAGAGAGCCUCUGUGGCAACCGCGCGGAAUAUCCCACUUUCCUCUGCAGCCCGUGUGAAGCUGCACGCGCGCUCAUGACCGGAGCAGGAAGUGCUUACAAAAUAAAAGCUUCAGGAAAUUUUUGAAUUCAAAUUCCCUCCCUUCU